GGUCCGUCCUCAGCUGCUCUGACCUCCUGAGUAAGCCACAUGACUCAGCCCUUCCAGGCUGUGGCUGAAAGGAAGCAGGUAUGAGAACCUGCAUGGAGCACCAGCCUGUGCCAGAUAAGUGUGGAGUUUCUCACAGCUGACUGAUAGAGGGAUUACUGGCAUUCCUGCAUUGCAGAUGGGAAGGCAGAACUGAGAGUUCCUCCUUCACCAGUUUUCCAUGACUCUUCACUUUGUCUUGCAUGCUUCAAAAUACCAGAGGGAGAGAGCAGAGGUGCAUCUGAAGUGAAAGGAACUCUCCUGGACACGAUAGAAUUUUACAACAGACACAGAAUGGGAGAAACCUAGGAAGUUUGUGGCAGGAUGGGGACCUCUUCUCCAGUGCCGGGGAUGGCUCCGUCUUGCAGCAUGCUCAGUGCUCGCUGCUGGAGCACGCCCAGGGCCAGCUGCUGCUGCUCCAGCUCCAGUGAGCAUGCCUCGAGGCAUUCAAGGAGGGCCGUGAGCUCGACUUUUGAGGCUUUUUCUGUUGAACUUCCAGCUUCCUGCAUGGAAGAAGUCUUCAACAGUGAAAACUCAGACAGCUUCUUUUCUGCAUCGUUCAUCAACUCGAUAACCUCUUCCCUUGCUCUCUGGUACUCCUGCCAUUGAACCGUACAUCUUGAAAGAGUCCAAGAGAAAUAAAUAAGCAAUACAAACCCAGCUAUUUCCACACAGAGCUCUGGUGUCUACAUGUCUAAUAAUAAGAGAGAAAAACAAAUUUACAGGCUAAGGGAAGUCAUCUUCUGUGCUAGCUCUUCCUUUCCAGUUGGCUUGAUGAGUGGGUCUAGCUUGGUCACCAGACCUUGGAGUUCCUCCAUGUUGUUGUGGAACUGACACUCUGUUUUGAAAAAUUCCACGUGACUUUUGAGAUUUUCCUCCGCACUCUCAACAUCUAGGCCAUUGCCUGCCAGCUGUAACAUUUCCUGGGCGUCUUCAAGCCAGUCAUUAGCGGUUUGGAACACUUGAUAAUACCUUUGACAGUGACUGUAUAUGUCUGUCAAGGUUGCCUGAAAGACAGUCAUUGUGAUAAAAUCAACUUCCAUUUACAGUGGGUUUGUAAGAAGUCACUUCAUUUUUCCAGCUUUUUUCUAAUCCUCAGCUUUAUAAAUGCUAUGAAAAGUUAACAUAUAAUUUGGGAGAACUUUUUUCAUGGUGAGUGCCUCUGAAUCCUUUAUUCCCCAUUUUGCUAAUCUUACUAUAAUUCUGCCGAUGUGGUUAAAAUACAUCAUGGAUAAGUAAGAAGAAAAAUAAACUAUAAAUUUAUGUUAGCAUCUUGA